AGCCUGCACAGGCCUUUUUCCUCGAUCCUGUUCAGCUCAGGGGCCAUGUUUCAUAUGGUAACGGAACUUUUGCCCAUGUCAUUCUUGGUCUACUUCUUGCCAUUUUCAUUCUUCCAUACUGGUGCACCUACAUAUCUGUAUUGGACGAGGCAAACCAUCUCAACUAUGCACCUUUCACCGUCCUAUAUUCACAUAUCCCUCACACAAUAUUAUUACAAAUUUAUUUCCACACAUCUAGAUUAGCUACUCACCUCCACCACACUCAUCUUGUGGGCAUGUUUCUUCCAAAUUCACUGCCAAGAUUAAUAGUUGGUCAAGUCUCAAUUGUUUAGAACUCUCCUUCAACUCAGUAGGCCUUUGAAUCAUAUGCUGGAUUUAGGGAAAUGGAGAUAACUAAUCCAUAUAGCUAAGCUCAACUAGUUUGAAGUUAACAUAUUAGUUGAUUUGAGUUGAAUUUCAG
rnacentral:misc_RNA from 1 species